rnacentral:rRNA from 1 species
CGUAGGGUCCAAGCGUUAUCCGGAAUCACUGGGCGUAAAGCGUCCGCAGCCGGCGCGUUAAGUGUGAUGUUAAAUCGUGGGGCUCAACCCUGUCGGUGCAUCACAUACUGGCGUGCUAGAGGAUGGCAGAGGCAAGUGGAAUUAGCAGUGUAGCAGUGAAAUGCGUAGAUAUUGCUAGGAACACCAAUGGCGAAGGCAGCUUGCUGGGCCACACCUGACGGUCAUGGACGAAAGCGUGGGGAGCGAACAGGAUUAGAUACCCUGGUAGUCCACGCCGUAAACGAUGCAUACUAGACGUAUGGGGUAUCGACCCCCUGUGCGUCGAAGCUAACGCGAUAAGUAUGCCGCCUGGGAAGUACGGCCGCAAGGCUA